rfam:Elusimicrobia bacterium RIFOXYB2_FTLL_62_6 rifoxyb2_full_scaffold_1787, whole genome shotgun sequence.
UAUCCUUGUAAUCCGGGGGAUUGGCCCCGGGGUAUCCACGACCGGACCAUAAUCCGGUGCAACCAGGGAAA